rnacentral:lncRNA from 1 species
AUUAUUACAUGGAUGUAUAAAAAUUAAAUAUAUAGUUACAUAUGAAAACACACAUGUUAAAUUUUAUUUUAUUUUUAAGGAUUAUGAAGAAGAAAUUUUUAGAUUAAAAAAAAUAAUCAAGGAAAGGGAAGAUGAAAAUAUGGAAUUAAGGGUAGGAAGUUAUUAUAUAUAAACUCGUCUGUUAAUUUUUUUUUUUUUAUCAUAUAUUUUUAUCAUAUAUUUUUAUUAACAAUUUUAUAUUAAUUAUUUAUAUUUUAUAAUUUAUAAAUAAAAAUAAAAUAAAAAAUUUAACGUAUUUUAGGUUAACUUCCGAGAAUUACUGGAAGAAAAAUGCAAAUUAGAGGAAGAUAUUGAAAAUUAUGAGAAGGCUAUCUACGAAAUUAACGAAAAUACAACUGUGUUGAAAGAAGCACAUCAGGUAUAAGUAUUUAUCUUUUGUCUGUGAAUAUACAUAUGUAUAUAUAUAUGUAACUAUCUCUAUAUUUCAACAAAAGUGGUCGGCACAUACGGCACUUUUCUUUUUUUUUCAACAGUGACUCAUUAUAUAUAUAUAAAUGAUUUUUUUUUAUUGUUUUUUUUUAGGAAGAAGUAAAGGAAAUUCAACAAGAAAACUGGAAUCUUUAUUUACAGAUAGAUUUGCUUAAGGAAAACUUAAAUAUUUUGGAAGAAAAAUGUAAUCAGUUACAGGAUUUUAAUGAAGAUAAAACUAAAAACAUUGAUAUUUUAAAUAAAGAAGUAUGGGACUUAAAGGUAAAAACAAAUAAAUAAAUAAAUAAAUAAAUAAACAAAUAAAUAUAUAUAUAUAUACGUAUGUGAACGGAAUAACAUUGCAUUUGUUUUAAUGUUUUUGUUGGAUAAUACAAUAUUUUAUUUUUUCAUUUUUCUGUGGGAAAUUUGUUUUUCUACUAUAUAUAUUAAUUAGGAUAAGAAAACGACGUAUGCAAUAGAAAUUGACAAAAUUUUAAUAGAAAAAAAUAAUAUAAGAAUUGAAAGAGAAGAAUUCGAUAAAUCUAAAACAGAAUUUAAAAUAAUAGAAGAAAAGUUAUAUGAAGAAAAAAUAGAAUUUGAAAAGAACAAAGAUGAGUUUUUAAAGGAAGCAGAACAACUAAAAAAAAGUAUAGACACAUUGGAAAAAGAAAAAAAAGAAAUAUUGGAAAAUAAAAAAGAGUUAGAAAAAGAUAAACAAAGACUAGAAGAAAAUAUACAAAAACUAGAAAAUGAAAAAGUUCAACAAGAAAAUAAUAUGAAAAAUAUCAUCAUAAAGUAUAACAUUUUACAAAAAGAACAUGAUAAUCUUAUAACAGAAAAUUCGAAUAAAGAACAUACGUUAUUAGAAAAGGAACAAAAAGUGAAUAUAGUAGAAAAGAAGAACGAAAUAUACAAGGUUAAAUAUUUUAAAAAAAUAAAAAUUAUAAUAACAUACACUGCGUUUAACUUAGUAUCAUCAUAA